UGGGGAAUAUUGCACAAUGGGCGCAAGCCUGAUGCAGCCAUGCCGCGUGUGUGAAGAAGGCCUUCGGGUUGUAAAGCACUUUCAGCGAGGAGGAAGGGUUCAGUGUUAAUAGCACUGUUCAUUGACGUUACUCGCAGAAGAAGCACCGGCUAACUCCGUGCCAGCAGCCGCGGUAAUACGGAGGGUGCAAGCGUUAAUCGGAAUUACUGGGCGUAAAGCGCACGCAGGCGGUUUGUUAAGUCAGAUGUGAAAUCCCCGCGCUUAACGUGGGAACUGCAUUUGAAACUGGCAAGCUAGAGUCUUGUAGAGGGGGGUAGAAUUCCAGGUGUAGCGGUGAAAUGCGUAGAGAUCUGGAGGAAUACCGGUGGCGAAGGCGGCCCCCCUGGACAAAGAUUGACGCUCAGGUGCGAAAGCGUGGGGA
rnacentral:rRNA from 1 species